UACGGAGGGUGCGAGCGUUGUCCGGAAUCACUGGGCGUAAAGGGCGCGUAGGCGGCUUCUCAAGCGUGUGGUGAAAGUCCGGGGCUCAACCCCGGAUCGGCCGUGCGGACUGGGGAGCUCGAGUUCUGUAGAGGCGGGUGGAAUUCCUGGUGUAGCGGUGAAAUGCGCAGAUAUCAGGAGGAACACCGGUGGCGAAGGCGGGUCUCUGGGCCGAUACUGACGCUGAGGAGCGAAAGCGUGGGGAGCGAACAGG
rnacentral:rRNA from 1 species